rnacentral:rRNA from 1 species
UACGAAGGGGGCUAGCGUUGUUCGGAAUUACUGGGCGUAAAGCGCACGUAGGCGGACAUUUAAGUCAGGGGUGAAAUCCCAGAGCUCAACUCUGGAACUGCCUUUGAUACUGGGUGUCUUGAGUAUGGAAGAGGUGAGUGGAAUUCCGAGUGUAGAGGUGAAAUUCGUAGAUAUUGGGAAGAACACCGGUGGCGAAGGCGGCGACCUGGUCCAUUACUGACGCUGAGGCGCGACAGCGUGGGGAGCAAACAGG